CUUGGACAGGAGGGUUUGCUGGUGAAAGCACCCAGCUUGGAGCCAAGAAACCAGGGAUUCAGUGAUAACAGAACCUCGGUCAGCACCAAGGUUCUGGGAAAGUCAUGAACUUCUUGGGGUUAAACUACUUUAUAUGGGCUGAUUGUCUACCUAGGAAUGAUGGCAGGAGCCUUCAUCCUGGGGGGCCUGGCUGAUAAACUGGGAAGGAAGAAGGUCCUCAGCAUGUCCUUGGCUAUCAAUGCUUCCUUUGCCUCCCUCUCCUCCUUCGUGCAGGGAUAUGGAGCUUUCCUCUUCUGCAGACUCAUCUCAGGCAUAGGUAUUGGGGGCUCCCUGCCAAUUGUUUUUGCCUACUUUUCUGAGUUCUUAUCACGGGAGAAACGCGGUGAGCAUCUCAGCUGGCUGGGUAUCUUCUGGAUGACUGGGGGCAUCUACGCAUCUGCCAUGGCCUGGAGCAUCAUUCCACACUAUGGCUGGGGCUUCAGCAUGGGAACCAAUUAUCACUUCCACAGCUGGAGAGUGUUUGUCAUCGUCUGU
rnacentral:lncRNA from 1 species